rnacentral:lncRNA from 1 species
ACGUUUAGGGUUUAAAGUUGAUGUGUUAGGGUUUAGAUUUGAAGGUUUUAGGGUUUUAGGGUUUAGGGUUCGAAUUUCAGAAAAAUGUAGGGUUUAGGGUUUACGUUUAGGGUUUAGAGUUGAUGUUUUAGGGUUUAGAUUUGAAGGUUUAGGGUUUAGAGUUGACGUUUCAGGGUUUAGGGUUUAAAGUUGAUGUUUCAUGGUUUAGAGUUUAGAGUUGUUGAUUUAGGGUUUAGAGUUGAUGUUUUAAGUUUAGAUUAGUUAAUCAUAU